GUUUCCGUAGGUGAACCUGCGGAAGGAUCAUUCAUAAUAAAGUGUUUUAUGGCACUUUUUAAAAAUCCAUAUCCACCUUGUGUGCAAUGUUAGAUCUCGUCAAUCUUGGCGAGGUUUUUAUACAUCAACUCAUUCUUUAACUAAUUUGUCUGAAAAAUAUUAUGAAUACUUAAUUCAAAAUACAACUUUCAACAACGGAUCUCUUGGCUCUC
rnacentral:misc_RNA from 1 species